rnacentral:rRNA from 1 species
CUAGAAGAAGUCGUGGCGGACGGGUGGAGUAACGUGUAAAGAACUUAACCAUAUAGACUGGGAUAACAGAGGGAAACUUCUGAUAAGACUGGAUAAGUUGGUUAUUAGCAUUAAUAACGAAAUGAAAGGGGACACUAUGAGAGAGCUUUGCGUCCUAUUAGCUAGUUGGUGGGGUAAAGGCCUACCAAGGCGAUGAUAGGUAGCCGGCCUGAGAGGGUGGACGGCCACAAGGGGACUGAGAUACGGCCCUUACUCCUACGGGAGGCAGCAGUG